rnacentral:rRNA from 1 species
AGGAUAAACGCUGGCGGCGUGCCUAACACAUGCAAGUCGAACGCGCUUUCGGGCUUCGGUGCGAGAGCGAGUGGCGGACGGGUGAGUAACACAUGGGUACCUACCUUGGAGUGAGGGAUACCGGCGAGAAAUCGCCGACAAUACCGCAUAGGCUUCUUCACAAGGGAAGCAAAGUGACGCGAGUCACGCUGUGAGAUGGGCCUGUGGCCGAUUAGCUAGUUGGGGGGUAACGGCUUCCCAAGGCGACGAUCGGUAGCUGGUCUGAGAGGACGAUCAGCCACACUGGGAUUGAGAACGGCCCAGACUCCUACGGGGGCAGCAGUGAGGAAUUUUCCGCAAUGGAGGCAACUCUGACGGAGCAACGCCGCGUGCAGGAGGAAGGUUUUCGGAUCGUAAACUGCUUUUCUCGGGGUACGAGCAAGGACGGUACCCGAGGAAGAAGCCCCGGCUAACUACGUGCCAGCAGCCGC